rnacentral:tRNA from 1 species
UAAGAGCGUGCAUCCUAGUUAGGCGUCCACACUUAUCGGUUUGUUUGAUGUUACAGCCAAGGGUCUGUAGCUCAGGUGGUUAGAGCACCGUCUUGAUAAGGCGGGGGUCGUAGGUUCAAGUCCUACCAGACCCACCAAGUUACGGGCGGCGGAGAGCGAUCUUGCCGUGAACUGGGGGAUUAGCUCAGCUGGGAGAGCACCUGCUUUGCAAGCAGGGGGUCGUCGGUUCGAUCCCGUCAUCCUCCACCAACACCUUGUGGUAGCCAAACGCAAGCAUCGAGAGAUCGGUGUUUGCGUUUGGCAUUGCCAAGACGAGUAGUAACUCGGCUGUUCUUUAACAAUAUGGAAUGUAGUAAAGGUGUCGCGGCGCGUUGAUGAGGCGCGCAAUUUAAACGCGACACUGGGUUGUGAUUGUAUCAACCAGUAUUACUAGUGAUCGAAAGACCGCUUGGAAUACUGCACAACGCGAGAACUCAGCCUAUAUCGAGACAUACUCGUUAUAG